UACAGAGGUCUCAAGCGUUGUUCGGAUUCAUUGGGCGUAAAGGGUGCGUAGGCGGCGCGGUAAGUCGGGUGUGAAAUCUCGGAGCUUAACUCCGAAACUGCAUUCGAUACUGCCGUGCUUGAGGACUGGAGAGGAGACUGGAAUUUACGGUGUAGCGGUGAAAUGCGUAGAGAUGCGGAGGAACACCGAUGGCGAAAGCAGCCCCCUGGGCCGACACUGACGCUCAGGCACGAAAGCGUGGGGGAGCAAACAGG
rnacentral:rRNA from 1 species